ncrna:unclassified sequences cow-rumen-1 RNA
UCACUGGCCUCCGCGUUAAAGUUUGACGGAAUAAGCCCAGCACCGGACACGACGAAGAGG